GUUUGACCCCCCGAAACUAAGCGAGCUACUCUUAAACAGCCUCUUAGGGCCAACCCGUCUCCGUAGCAAAGGAGUGGGAAGAUUUAAGAGUAGAGGUGACAUACCUACCGAGCUUAGAGAUAGCUGGUUAUUUAGGAAAAGGAUUUAAGUCCGCCUUUAAGUUUCUACAGUACCCCAAACACCUCUUAAACUUAAAAGACAUUCGAAUAAGGUACAGCCUAUUUGAACAAGGAAACAGCCUGCAGACCCGGGUAAUGACCCCCACGAUGUGACUAGGUGGGCCUAAAAGCAGCCAGCCUCCAGAAAGCGUCCAAGCUUCAUCACUAUCCAUUAAUAAUCCCUCUAUUUAUUCAGAACCCUCCAUCGCUACUAAAUAACCCCAUACCCGCUAUGGGAGAUAUUAUGCUAGAACUAGUAACAAGAAGAAGCACUUCUCCUAAAUAUAAGCGUAAGCCAAAAUGAACCCUCACUGGCACUUACCGCCGCUAAGC
rnacentral:rRNA from 1 species